UGGUAUUAGAGCGCAGGCUACACUCAGACCAUGAUUCUAUUGGAUGUUCCUGUUGAGCGUUGGUACCUUCUAUUAUUAUGGGACCUUAGAGUAGGCAAGUGGACAUGAGACAAUGAAGGCUUAAUUAGUAAGGGAACCAGAAGAUAGUACUUUAUUUCUUUAUUUGGUUGUAUGCAAUAUGUUUACAUAUAUUAUAGUUGUGUAGGUGUCUUGGUUUUAACGUUUAGGUUAGUGAGUGUUUGUUGUUCCUAAUGCUUAAUUGUUCAGAUCCUUAAUCACAAAUAGCUAUCUUCAUUUUAUUUGGUAAAGUCGUGUGUUUCAGCCCUAACGAUUUAUAUGUAAACUAAAGUGUGAGUUCAAUUAGACUCAUUGGUCAUUGCUUGCUUAAUUAGCAGUUACUCAUUUGCA